rnacentral:rRNA from 1 species
GAUCUGGCUCAGGAUGAACGCUAUCUACAGGCUUAACACAUGCAAGUCGAGGGGAAACGACAUCGAAAGCUUGCUUUUGAUGGGCGUCGACCGGCGCACGGGUGAGUAACGCGUAUCCAACCUGCCUACCACUUGGGGAUAACCUUGCGAAAGUAAGACUAAUACCCAAUGACAUCCCACGAAGACAUCUGAAUGGGAUUAAAGAUUUAUCGGUGAUGGAUGGGGAUGCGUCUGAUUAG